rnacentral:misc_RNA from 1 species
GAUGAAAGAACGUAGCGAAAUGCGAUACUUGGUGUGAAUUGCAGAAUCCCGUGAACCAUCGAGUCUUUGAACGCAAGUUGCGCCCGAAGCCAUUAGGCCGAGGGCACGCCUGCCUGGGCGUCACACGUCGUUGCCCCCCCAUCUACUCCUUCGGGAUUGCGGGGGGCGGAUGAUGGCCUCUCGUGCGCCUCGUCGCGCGGUUGGCCUAAAUGCCAAGUCCUCGGCGACGCACGCCACGACAAUCGGUGGUUGCGAAACCUCGGUUGCCUGUCGUGUGCGGUCGUCGCGCAUCGAGGGCUCGAAAAAAUUGCCGGGCUUCGGCUCGACUUUCAACGCGACCCCAGGUCAGGCGGGGUUACCCGCUGAAUUUAAGCAUAUCAAUAAGCGGAGGA